CUCACAAGCACAACUAGUUGAACAUCAUUACAACAUAAGCAUAUCCCUACAUGCAUCAAGUAGGAGCUAAGCAAACAUAUACAUAAUAUUAACUCAUGCGUAUCCAAGACACAUAUACAUCAUAUUGAUUCAAAAUAGGGUUAAGAGAUGCUUAGGUGCCUGCCAUGGAGUUCAAAGGAAGCGUUGUUGGCAAUGGGCUCCAGCUCGGGCUCACCCACCUUUUGCUCUGAUGUUUCGAUUUCUACACGAAUGCAACGAUGCAUAAUUAAUAAAAUGCAUGAAGAUGGUGCAAAUGAUGUAUGAGAUGCAUGGAAAAGAAGGUAACUAUUUUUAUCAUACUAGCACAUCAAUUCAAAGCAUCUGAUACAUGAUAGAACACUUAAAUCCUACACAAAACAAGGUUAUAUUCACGUUUUUCCUCAAUGACAGAACUGUAAAUAACUCGUCAAGUUCCCCAAAAUGGCAUAAUUGGUGAUUCCGGCGACCGGUUGCAGUAGGGUUUGAUCCUAGAGCUUCCUUAGGUGAUGGGGAUUCAUUUUUUGGUCAUAGCAAUGACAUGCACGGAGGUUUGGAUGACAUGCAAUAUCAAUGGAGAUAAGCUUCUAUGGAGGUUAAUGGAGGAGCUUCCAAUGAAGGAGAGAGGAGGGGGAAAAUAUAGGGGAACCUCACCAAGGGGAAGGACGAUUUAGAGAACUGCAGGUUGGAGGAGUAGAGCGAUGGUGAAGAAGAUUGGCGACGAGCUUGCUUCAUCGGAGUUGGGGAAGAAGCACGCGAAAAAACAGUGUGCUUAGUCCUUGUCUCGGGGAAGAUGGAGGGCAAUGUGGGAAGGAGGAGGAGCUCGCCCUUGGCCUAGCCGAGGCCUGGCCGGGCGGUGCUGCCCCUGGUCGACGGCGCAGGCGAGUAGAGGGGCAGAGUGGCACUGGCUCGGGAGGAAAAGAACGAGAGAAGAG
rnacentral:lncRNA from 1 species